rnacentral:sRNA from 1 species
GCUGGGCGUGGUGGCACAUGCCUGUGAUUCCAGCAGCUUGGGAGGCUGAGUCAGGAGCAUCUCGAGUUCAAAGCCAGCCUCAGCAAUGACAAGGCACUAAACCACUCAGUGAGACCCUGUCUCUA